GGGCAACCUUAUGCCCGGGCACCACGUCAAAAGGAGGCUUGGGGGCAAGGAUUUUCCACUGUUCAUCCUUCCACCGGAUCUGGGGCAAGACCACAGUGGGAGGCCCAGGGCACCAUGGUGACUGAGGCCGUGACCCAGGCUGCCACGCUGGCCCAAGAAGAAGAGAAGAGGGGAGACGCGCUUCAGCUAGGAACUGCAUUCCAGUUGCUUGUCCUCUAGCGGGGACAACCUUACAGGCGCGUGGGAGCCUCUAUUUUGUCCGGUAGCGGCAUAAUGCAUGAUGAAGUGGACGGCUGGUUUUGUUUUUGAAGCCAAGGGUCAACAGAUCUGGUGCGUGGGUUUUGAAUGUGAAAAUGAUCCUACGGUGGAUAAUUAAGGACGAAUGAAGGUGGAAAAAAAAAAUCAGUUAGAUUACAAAGUAAUUGACUGGUGACCCUGACCCCAACGGGUGGAAGCAAAGGUCUAGUGGCAGUGAAUAGUGUCCUGCCCUGGUGACCCAACGGGUGAACUUGCUCUUACAGAGGAAACAAAUCUAGAAAGUUUUCUCUUGAUUUUCCUUUCCCACGUAGGAAACAAAUCUAGAAAGUUUUAUCUUGAUCUUCCUUUCCUUUCCUACAGAGGAAACAUAUUGGGCAGGGGCGGAUCCAGCCACGGGCCAGGUAGGGCUCAAGCCCCACCGGGCUUUUUGGGCCCAAAAAAAGAAAAGAAAAAGUAGGUAUAUAUCUUGGGUUUUUUUUUUUUUAUUCGGGGAACACUCUUUUCCUCUCUCAAGCCUCCUGAAGUGACCGAACUCCAGCGCUAUUCCUUCACUUCUUCUCCGUCUCCGAGCUCCAGCCUCCAGUUCUUCCGUUUUUCGGCGGCUCGCGGCUCAGCCCUUGAUCAAUGUUCAAAAUUGCUGGGUUAUUCACUCCAGUCACUCCACCGAAAGAGCAUUUCUGGAGAAAAUGAGCAUUACUUUACACCCACCAACCCUACAGCGCCAUCAAAAACACCAGGUGGAUCCUCUAGUGGAGCUGCGGUGGCUGUAGCGGCUAAUCUUGCUGACUUUUCCCUGGGUGAGCUUCAUCUUUUCCUUGUUUUUCUUAAAAUGCUGUACAUCCAUUUUAACAUAUUACAGUACCAGGGCCGCAGCAUAUCUGGAAAUUGGAAGUUUCGUUCAAGCUGAGGCGGAUUGUAGUCAGGCUAUCAACCUCGACAAAAAGAAUGUGAAGGCUUAUUUUCGAAGAGGCACUGCAAGGGAGGUGCUUGGGUACUAUAAGGAGGCAAUUGAAGACUUUAAAUAUGCACAUGUUCUUGAACCGACGAAUAAAAGAGCAGCCGCUGCUGCUGAUAGAUUGAGGAAGUUAUUUCUUCAAUAAGUGAUCAAGUCCAUGCGCAAUUUUUGGAAAGCACAAGAAAAAGUUUCUGGAAAUCGGCAAAGUUCACUCCGCCUGGAAAGACAAUUUAUACAGUUGACAGUUUGCACAGCAGUUCUGAUGAGAAGGGAUGCUUUUAGGAGGGGGUCUGAAUUAUUGUUUGAUCUGAUAAGUUUUUUGAGCAUUAGAUUAUUAUCAUUUAUUAUUGUCACAACAUAUGUAACUAGUCAAUUUUGUUUCUCUAAAUAUUCUCUGUUGUAGCAAUUCUAAGCUUUGAGCUGAGCUUUAAAGCAUUUGAUCAUGGUUGAGCAAAGCCAUUAUGAUAUCA